AGAGCUGGUGUUCCCCACAGGGCUGGGGGUGCUCCCAGGGGUGUCCCCCAGGGCCAGAGGAAGCAGCACUGGCCGGUGGCAGCAGCUUUUCUCGAUGCUUCCCAGUGCUGGCAACAACAGCCUGGGGGGUUAUUCCAAGGUGGGAUGGCUCAUUCCCAUCUCCAGGCUGUGGCAGGGGUGGAACGGCUCAUUCCCAUCUCCAUCGUGCUCCUUGUUGUGGCUGCACUGAGGAUUUGUUCUUUGAACUCAAAACAUCCCUGUCAGCGUCUGUAAGAGAAUUUCAUUCCUCCGAGAGAAGCCACUGACUCGGAGCUGUAGGAGAAAAUCCGGGCAAAGGAUUUCGAGUAAAUACCUUCAUUAAACACAGAAGGGAGGCGCUUGGGAUUACAGCACUUGUGUAAACACGGCAACAAACAGGCUGAUCUAAUCUCACCCAAGAACAAAGCAAGAGUCCAGGGGACGAGGCUGUGUGUGACUAAUAAAGGGCUGAUGAGUAAAUAAUAA